CGUCGCGUGCAGCUGUUACCUGUUCUGACAGGCUGUUUAUAGUGCUAAGUUUACUAGUUUUCGGAGGUUGUCGACUGAGGCUAACUAUUUUUGUUGAGUUGUUUCAGAUCUAAGGCUCUGGCAAUUGCUGCUGCAUCAUUUCGCUAAUACUUUGUGUCAAUUGUGUGUGUGUGUUAUGUAUUUGA